CUCUUUUUCUAUCUUGAAGUUCGUAAUUCCAUCAAAAAAUUGUUAAAGUACAAUUUGAUUCUGACUAAAGGAUAGUUACACUACAUAGGUUCCAGAUGUUCGGUAUUAUUUAAUACACGAUUGAUUGGUUCAAUCGGCGCCUUUGCUUUGUUUAUAAUUCAACAUCGUGAUUACAAAACAGCCUUACAGGUAUUACGAAAAGGGGGGAUAUAUAAAUGGGCAAAAGCCAACCUCAACACAGUCACGUUGAUGUUCUUGGAGGUUAAGGAACAAGGUGAUUUUAUUCGGACCUAAAUUCAUUUUACCUUUUGCAAGUUCGGUUAUUUUGGUGAAAUACUAGUUUUCAGAAUGUUUUGGACAAUAUUUUUCAUUUUUUUUAACUGUAAAAUUAAUAAAAUAAAAGAGAAAUCUUUCUAAAAUAUUGUAUCCAAAAUUUGUCAAUU
rnacentral:lncRNA from 1 species